rnacentral:rRNA from 1 species
UUUAACUCAUCACCCUGUGACAUACCUAAAACGUUGCUUCGGCGGGAACAGACGGCCCCGUAACACGGGCCGCCCCCGCCAGAGGACCCCCUAACUCUGUUUCUAUUAUGUUUCUUCUGAGUAAAACAAGCAAAUAAAUUAAAACUUUCAACAACGGAUCUCUUGGCUCUGGCAUCGAUGAAGAACGCAGCGAAAUGCGAUAAGUAAUGUGAAUUGCAGAAUUCAGUGAAUCAUCGAAUCUUUGAACGCACAUUGCGCCCGCCAGUAUUCUGGCGGGCAUGCCUGUUCGAGCGUCAUUACAACCCUCAGGCCCCCGGGCCUGGCGUUGGGGAUCGGCGAGGCGCCCCCUGCGGGCACACGCCGUCCCCCAAAUACAGUGGCGGUCCCGCCGCAGCUUCCAUUGCGUAGUAGCUAACACCUCGCAACUGGAGAGCGGCGCGGCCACGCCGUAAAACACCCAACUUCUGAAUGUUGACCUCGAAUCAGGUAGGAAUACCCGCUGAACUUAAGCAUAUCAAUAAGCGGAGGAAAAGAAAACUGGAA